rnacentral:rRNA from 1 species
AUGCUUCAGCUUCAGACCUUCACGUCAUCAUCGGUGGAGCCGUCCAAGAGUGCGUGGGGCGCCGUCGUGGCAACCUACGCGCACCUGCCCUUGGGCGCUCCGAGCAGGUUCCUCCGACCGGCGCCGCUUGUCCUCGACGGCGUCGCGUACUGGCUCUGCAAGUCCGAGUCGGAGUGCCUCGGCUACCACGUCCUCGCGCUCCCCCUCGACGGGCGGCGGCAGCCGGCGCCGAUCAAGCUCGCGGACAAAGUUCUACAGAGACCAGAACAUGACAAGGCGCGCGGGUUCAACGCCGAGGACCUCCUCCUAACGUCGACGAUGGUGAACGGGAGGCGGCGGCUGGCCCUGGCCGUGGUGAAAAAUAUCACAAUAUCUCUGUGGACACUGGAGGACGACCAGGCGAAGCCAGCGACGUGGACGCGGCACAAGUUCUUCGACAUGUGGAGGAUCAUGGUGGAUCGCGGAUGCCCGGCGCCAUGGCGGGAGGAGGGAGACAAGCUGGAGCUGGAGUGCUUCUCGGAGGCGAGCGGCAGCCUGCUCUUCCACUUCUACCUUCGCAUGCUGUACAAGCUCGAUCUCAAGACCGGCGAGGUGGAGCUGUUCGGGGUCUACUGCAAGCGGGGCUCGAGCAACAUGUGCGAGUACGAGAUUAGUUAG